rnacentral:misc_RNA from 1 species
UCGCCUCUCGGUGCACCGCUUCCACCGCACCCCAUCCACACCGACGUCCCCAAACACGCGCACGCUGUGGAGAGUUGCCGGCUGCCGUCGGCACACCAGUGCGCCCGCUAAAGAGAACAGGCGCGAGCUGCAGCCUAGCUGAAGCUGACUUUUUUCUUUUAUGGCACGUGUGGGCCCGUUCGCGGACACUCGCACAUGCCGCCCAAAGCACCCAACCUCAAGUUUAAGCCGAAGCUUGUGCUUCGUGAGGAUGACACGGCCGCGCGUCCUCCUGCUACACAGGCCACCGGAGAUCUAAGCCUCUUGCAGCUGGCUCGCCUGCAAGGUCUCUACAUCGAGGAGCAGGCGCCAUCCUCGUCGGAAGCCGUCGCCGGCCUAGGAGACCGACUGGCGCCGGCCUCGUCUUCCCCUGCGCACGGUGGGGGUGAUGGCGAGGGACGUGGCCCCGCUGAAUCGUCAUCCGACCCACGCGGGGGACAUCCACAGCAACGCUGCACAAAUCUGUCGAGCAACGGGGAUGGUGCGCGGGGAAUCGCAGCGUCCUCACUCUUGCGCCCCAGGGGCCGCAGCCACAAUCUGAGUGCCCACGCUGCCCUCGAGGAGGCUUCACGCAGGCACGUCGACAUCUCCCAAUACCCUGAGGUGGCGCCGCCGCUUCCACACAACUCGAUGAACACGAUCGUAGCGCCGAGUGCAUUACGCAACGAUGACCCCAUGCACUCAGGGCUGUACGCCCCACUUCCGCUCGACGCUUCUUUGCCGUCGCGACUCGCAGCAGAAGAAUGCAUUGCUUUCUCUGCGGCUCAAGGCGUGGUAAGCGGCACGCCGCAGUCGUCGGCUGCGACACCGAUGGAUGUUGACGGCACUGCCUUCUUGCGCGAGGCGGAGUUGGAGCAGCAGCGCGCCUACGCAGCGAACAUGCGCUUUUACGAGGACAGCCUGCGCCCCAUGCAAGCCAGUGUGCCGUCUGCAACUGCAGCACCUGGGGGGCUGGUGUGGAUGCAGCUUCCCCGCUUUCACGAAAAUGCGCCCUUCUCAUUCUUCGAUCUUCCACCUGGCAAGGUAGGUGUGCUGAAGGUGCUGCGUAGCGGCCGUAUGGUGCUGGAGGUUGCGGGCGUGCACUACGACGUCGCGGUGGAGGGGUACGAGGACGCCGGCAACGACGGCGCCUGUGCGAUGGCGGUGGCGACCCAGCCGAGCGCGUACCCGUCCAAUCCGUCCUCGAAGGCCAGCUGCUACGAGCUCGGCCUGCUGCAGAGGAAGCUGAUCUGCACCCCCACUCUUCCGUGAGCGAGGCUUACGGCGCUCGUGCCACACGAGAGCGAAGUCAGAGCCAGAAGAAACGCGGGAAUACUGCGGUUCCACCGCGAAGAUAGGCCCUCGCGCUGCUGCUGGCCUGUGUGGCAUCACAGCUGUGUAUGAGGGUCCCUGAGUGCUCAGUUUCCGUAAAGCUCGUUUAAGACAUCACGUUUGCGCAGCCAUUUUUAC